UUUUUUCUUAUUCUAAUUGUUUUGUUUCCUUCAUUUUCCUGGUGAACAUUAAUUGUGAUUUGGUUUCUUUUUAUAAUUUGUUGUUUAUUUAUUGUCUAAUUUGUGGUCAUUAUUUUGUCAAAUUAUCUUCAAUAAGAACUGAUUAUUAUCCAAGAUAAACAAUAUUGAUCAUUUUCUUUUUCUUCGUCUCUUCUGUUAAUCCGCUUUCCAUGUUUUUCUCCUUCAUUUCUCUGUUAUUUUUUCUCUAUAUCAAAGGGUUACAUUAGAUGAUGAUUGUGUUCUGGUCAAUCAAAUGAAGCCAAAAACCAUUUACCAUCCAUUUAGAGCCUGGACUAGUUCAUUAUCACCCUGUGAUUAUUUGUAACAAAGUAACUCUUAAGCCCUUCAAAUGGACAACAAAAGCCAGGAAAGGAAAGGAGAGGAAAAGGAAAAGGACAAGGGGUUAACAAGAUGACCAACAGAACAACGAGAGCAACUGGACAAGUAGAGAUGAUGAAUAAGAUAAAACGAUGACCCUGAACAGACUCAAUCAGUGUUCGAGUAUAUAAAUAUCUAAAUCUCUUUCAAGGUGAUUGUUGUAAUAUCGAUGAUAAUUAACAAGCAAAUUGUGUACAAACGAACCAACUAAAUAUCAUCCUGUUGAUCAUUAUCAUCACCUCAUCUUCCUCCUACACCAAUAACAACAAUGAUAAUACUUUGGUUCAAAUGGACAAGUCAAGAUUUUGAUUAGUUUAAUGUGAAUACUAAACAAGCGAUUUCAUGGUACAAGGAUUAACUCUUUGAUUACUUUGGUUGGAUUAUCAAUUGUUACAUUCACAUAUGUAAAUAAUAUUAAAUAACCUUAAUUGAAUCUGAAUAAUCAAUGAAAUGUUGAUUGAUCCACGGAAAGAAUUGAGUUCAUUCAAACUGAGUAGAUAUUCAAAUAGUUAAUCAACUGAUGACAAGAUGCAGAUGAAGAUGAAGACGAGGACGAAGAUGUGGAUGGUAAAGACAAUCCUUUAUUUGGUAACCAGUUCAUGGUCAUUAUGAUAAUGAAACAUGGAUUAUACUGUAAAAGCGUUACCUGUGAAGCCGAAUAACUGUCGAAAAUAAGUAUGGACGAUGGACGAUGGAAGAUGAUAAGAAGGGGAUAAGAAGAAAAGGAGAAAAAGACACACACCAAACAUACUGCACAUAAAGAGGAACCAGAAGAGAAGAUGAUAAACAUGUCGCAAUUGAAAGAGACUCACAACAUGAUAACAACAAUCGAAUGGACAAAUACAAUAAACUCAUUUGUAACUUUA